rnacentral:rRNA from 1 species
CCUACGGGAGGCAGCAGUGAGGAAUAUUGGUCAAUGGACGAGAGUCUGAACCAGCCAAGUAGCGUGAAGGAUGACUGCCCUAUGGGUUGUAAACUUCUUUUAUAUGGGAAUAAAAUGUUCCACGUGUGGGAUUUUGUAUGUACCAUAUGAAUAAGGAUCGGCUAACUCCGUACCAGCAGCCGCGGUAAUACGGAGGAUCCGAGCGUUAUCCGGAUUUAUUGGGUUUAAAGGGGGCGUAGGUGGAUUGUUAAGUCAGUUGUGAAAGUUUGCGGCUCAACCGUAGAAUUGCAGUUGAAACUGGCAGUCUUGAGUACAGUAGAGGUGGGCGGAAUUCGUGGUGUAGCGGUGAAAUGCUUAGAUAUCACGAAGAACUCCGAUUGCGAAGGCAGUUCACUGGACUGCAACUGACACUGAGGCUCGAAAGUGUGGGUAUCAAACAGGAUUAGAUACCCGAGUAGUC